AUACGGAGGUUGCAAGCGUUACUCGGAAUCACUGGGCGUAAAGCGCGCGCAGGCGGCUUGAUAAGUUGGAUGUGAAAGCCUACGGCUCAACCGUAGAACUGCAUCCAAAACUGUCAAGCUAGAGUCUGGGAGGGGAAGAUGGAAUUAGUUGUGUAGGGGUAAAAUCCGUAGAGAUAACUAGGAAUACCAAAAGCGAAGGCGAUCUUCUGGAACAGUACUGACGCUGAGGCGCGAAAGCGUGGGGAGCAAACAGGAUUAGAAACCCUAGUAGUCC
rnacentral:rRNA from 1 species